UUAAGUUCAGCGGGUAUCCCUACCUGAUCCGAGGUCAACCUUAGAAAAAUUUUAGUCUGAAACUAAAGAGACCGAGUCCUUAGGCCCGCUUCAGUACGUGCCUUGUUAAAAGCUCAGUGUACCGGGGGAACCACAGGCCGCCGUCAUUGUCUUUAGGAGGAGUCGCGGUGACGCGACCAAGCCGUCCAACACCAAGCACG
rnacentral:misc_RNA from 1 species